GACGAACGCUGGCGGCGUGCUUAACACAUGCAAGUCGAGCGGUAAGGCCCUUUCGGGGGUACACGAGCGGCGAACGGGUGAGUAACACGUGGGUGACCUGCCCUUAGCUCUGGGAUAAGCCUGGGAAACUGGUUCUAAUACCGGAUAUGACUCCAUGACGCAUGUUGUGGGGUGGAAAGCCUUGUGCGGCUAGGGAUGGGCCUGCGGCCUAUCAGCUUGUUGGUGGGGUGAUGGCCUACCAAGGCGACGACGGGUAGCCGGCCUGAGAGGGCGACCGGCCACACUGGGACUGAGACACGGCCCAGACUCCUACGGGAGGCAGCAGUGGGGAAUCUUGCGCAAUGGGCGAAAGCCUGACGCAGCGACGCCGCGUGGGGAUGAC
rnacentral:rRNA from 1 species